UGGUAGUAAUUCUUAAUAAAACCAAUUUAUAAUGGCGGCAUUAAAUCUAAUUAGAGGAACUUGUCCUUUAAUCGAUAAUACUCGAUCACUUUAACUUAAAUUUAAAAUUUAUAUAUCGCCAUCUAAAGAAUUAAUUAUAAAAUAAUAUUCUAAAUAACAUAUAAAAAGUUAGGUCAAGGUGUAAUCUAUAUUUAAGUAUGAGAUGAGUUACUUUAAAUAUAUUUAAAGAUAUUAAAUUAAAAUUAAAAUUGAAAAAGGAUUUAAUAGUAAAAUUUAAUUAAAAAUUAUAUUUGAAUAAGAAUAUAAAUGUGC
rnacentral:rRNA from 1 species